rnacentral:rRNA from 1 species
GAGGUGGCACCUGCCCAAUGCUUUUAUAUAACACCCCCUGGGUUGAACCGAAAGUCAAUGGCCGCGGUAUUUCUGACCGUGACAAUGUAGCGAAAUCAAUCGUCACUUAAUUGCUGACCGGUAUGAAUGGUAGCACGAAUAUUCCCCUGUCUCUAGAAAAAUCCCCGUGAAAUUGAAGGCUCCGUGCAUAUGCGGAGUAGAUUUUGUAAGACGAAAAGACCCUAUUGAGCUUUACUAUAUAUUCCUCCUCCCACCCAUUGAUACCCUAACCGGAGCUUAAUCUUCUUGGGGGAAUAAGGUAGUUUCGUUGGGGCGACGGCCUUCUAUACAGUACCGAAGGCUCACCAAGGUGACCAUGGAAUCAUGCUAGCCUGACUGCUAGGCUUAUAGGCCGCGCAGACACUAACGUGGGUGAUACGUUUCCACCUUUUAAUCAAGGUGCCAAAACAUAAAAGUUACCAUAGGGAUAACAGCGUAAUCUCCCCGAAGAGUUCUUAUCGAUGGGGAGGAUUGCGACCUCGAUGUUGAAUUGUGGUAUCCUGAGGGUGCAGCCGCUCUC